AAGCUAUUUAAUUUCAUUUGAAUUU
rnacentral:tRNA from 1 species